rnacentral:rRNA from 1 species
AUGAACGCUAGCGGCAGGCUUAAUACAUGCAAGUUGAGGGGCAGCAUGAUAUACGUAAGUAUAUUGAUGGCGACCGGCGGACGGGUGAGUAAAAGGUAGGAGACCUACCUCAUACAGGGGGAUAGCAUAGAGAAAUCUGUGGUAAUACCCCAUGAGGUUAUAUGAAUAGAGGCAUAUAAUCAAAGUAUACGAGAGUAUGCGGUAUGAGAUGGGCCUACUGACCAUUAGCUAGUUGGUGAGGUAAGGGCUCACCAAGGCGAAGAUGGUUAGGGGUUUUGAGAGAGAGAUCCCCCACAUUGGAACUGAGAUACGGUCCAGACUCCUACGGGAGGCAGCAGUAGGGAAUAUUGGGCAAUGGGCGAAAGCCUGACCCAGCCAUGCCGCGUGAAGGAAGACGGCCUUAUGGGUUGUAAACUUCUUUACUAUACGAAUAGAGGUUAGUACGAGUUACUAAUAGGAAGGUAGUAUAGCAAAAAGCACCGGCUAACUCCGUG